rnacentral:rRNA from 1 species
GAUGAACGCUAGCGGCAGGCUUAACACAUGCAAGUCGAGGGGCAGCGCGGGUAGCAAUACCUGGCGGCGACCGGCAAACGGGUGCGGAACACGUACAGAACCUACCUUGAUCUGGGGCAUAGCCCGAAGAAAUUCGGAUUAACUCCCCAUAAUAUUAUUGGAUGGCAUCAUUUGGUAAUUAAAAAUUUAUUGGAUCAAGAUGGCUGUGCGUCCCAUUAGCUAGUUGGUAGGGUAACGGCCUACCAAGGCGACGAUGGGUAGCUGGUGGGAGAGCACGACCAGCCACACGGGCACUGAGACACGGGCCCGACUCCUACGGGAGCAGCAGUGAGGAAUAUUGGUCAAUGGACGCAAGUCUGAACCAGCCAUGCCGCGUGAAGGAUGAAGGCCUUCUGGGUUGUAAACUUCUUUUAUCUGGGAAGAAAACUACGGUUUCUACUGUAGCCGACGGUACCAGAGGAAUAAGCACCGGCUAACUCCGUGCCAGCAGCCGCCGUAAUAC